rnacentral:rRNA from 1 species
GCCGUAGCGCGGUGGUCCCACCUGACCCCAUGCCGAACUCAGAAGUGAAACGCCGUAGCGCCGAUGGUAGUGUGGGGUUUCCCCAUGCGAGAGUAGGGAACUGCCAGGC